rnacentral:rRNA from 1 species
AGAGUUUGAUCCUGGCUCAGGAUGAACGCUGGCGGCAUGCCUAAUACAUGCAAGUCGAACGGGGUGCUUGCACCCAGUGGCGAACGGGUGAGUAACACGUAUCUAAUCUACCUUUUAGUGGGGGAUAACAGUUGGAAACGACUGCUAAUACCGCAUACGACAUCAUUAUCGCAUGAGAAGAUGUUGAAAGGCCCGUUUGGGUCGCUAGAAGAUGAGGAUGCGGCGUAUUAGCUAGUAGGUGGGGUAAAGGCCCACCUAGGCGAUGAUACGUAGCCGAACUGAGAGGUUGAUCGGCCACAUUGGGACUGAGAUACGGCCCAGACUCCUACGGGAGGCAGCAGUAGGGAAUUUUUCACAAUGGGCGAAAGCCUGAUGAAGCAAUGCCGCGUGAGUGAUGACGGUCUUCGGAUUGUAAAGCUCUGUUGUAAGGGAAGAACAGCUAGAAGAGGAAAUGCUUUUAGUUUGACGGUACCUUACCAGAAAGCCACGGCUAACUAUGUGCCAGCAGCCGCGGUAAUACAUAGGUGGCAAGCGUUAUCCGGAUUUAUUGGGCGUAUAGGGUGCGUAGGAGGUUAGUUAAGUUUGAGGUUAAAGCCCGGAGCUCAACUCCGGUUCGCCUUGAAAACUGGCUAACUAGAAUGCAGGAGAGGUAGAUGGAAUUCCAUGUGUAGCGGUGAAAUGCGUAGAUAUAUGGAGGAACACCAGUGGCGUAGGCGGUCUACUGGCCUGUUAUUGACUCUGAGGCACGAAAGCGUGGGGAGCAAAUAGGAUUAGAUACCCUAGUAGUCCACGCCGUAAACGUUGAGUACUAAGUGUCGGCAUUAAGUCGGUGCUGCAGCUAACGCAUUAAGUACUCCGCCUGAGUAGUAUGCUCGCAAGAGUGAAAC